CUCGAUAUGUAGUCCCUCCAAAUUGGGCCUAAAUGACAAUGUUCACUUCAAAACACAAUAAAAGCACUAUACAUCAUUCUUCAAUACAACAACCCAUUACAUCAAUGUAAUAACAAGCCAAAUUAAAGGAAAAAUAUCUUACGAAUGGAAAACAUAGAUUACAGUGCAUAUUUAUUUAAAGUAGAUAGAUAUAGAUACAGUGCAUAUUUAUUUAAAGUAGAUAGAUAUAGAUACAGUGCAUAUUUAUUUAAAAGUAGAUUGAUGGAGAUUUGAGACAUAAUAAUGACCAACAUAUGGGAGACAAAAGAGCGGCCCUGGUCUGUUUCAUGGAAGGAAUGUAUCCGUCUAUCUAGUCAUGCCUCCUCCAAUGGAUGGUGGAAUGGUUGUCGCACCACGAGUUUUCUUUUCCACAUUCCCAUGCCAGCCUA
rnacentral:lncRNA from 1 species